rnacentral:rRNA from 1 species
GACGAACGCUGGCGGCGCGCCUAACAUAUGCAAGUCGAGCGAGAACCAGGGCUUCGGCCCUGGGGACAGCGGCGAACGGGUGAGUAACACGUGGAUAACCUGCCCUCGGCACCGGAAUAGCCCGGGGAAACCCGGAUUAAUGCCGGAUGGCCCCACAUCCCUGCGGGGAACGUGGGAAAAGGUAGCUUCGGCCUCUGGCCGAGGAUGGGUCCGCGGUGGAUUAGCUUGUUGGUGGGGUAAAGGCCCACCAAGGCGACGAUCCAUAGCUGGUCUGAGAGGACGAUCAGCCACACUGGGACUGAGACACGGCCCAGACUCCUACGGGAGGCAGCAGUGGGGAAUCUUGCGCAAUGGGCGAAAGCCUGACGCAGCGACGCCGCGUGCGGGAAGAAGGCCUUCGGGUUGUAAACCGCUUUCAGGAGGGACGAAGCCACUCGGGUGAACAGCCCAGAGGGUGACGGUACCUCCAGAAGAAGCCCCGGCUAACUACGUGCCAGCCGCCGCCGUAAUAC